AUUGAACGCUGGCGGCAUGCCUUACACAUGCAAGUCGAACGGUAACAGGUCUUCGGAUGCUGACGAGUGGCGAACGGGUGAGUAAUACAUCGGAACGUGCCCGAUCGUGGGGGAUAACGGAGCGAAAGCUUUGCUAAUACCGCAUACGAUCUACGGAUGAAAGCAGGGGACCGCAAGGCCUUGCGCGGACGGAGCGGCCGAUGGCAGAUUAGGUAGUUGGUGGGAUAAAAGCUUACCAAGCCGACGAUCUGUAGCUGGUCUGAGAGGACGACCAGCCACACUGGGACUGAGACACGGCCCAGACUCCUACGGGAGGCAGCAGUGGGGAAUUUUGGACAAUGGGCGCAAGCCUGAUCCAGCCAUGCCGCGUGCAGGAUGAAGGCCUUCGGUUGUAACUGCUUUGUACGGAACGAAAGACUCUUCUAAUAAGAGGUCCAUGACGGUACCGUAAGAAUAAGACACCGGCUAACUACGUAGCCAGCAGCCGUAC
rnacentral:rRNA from 1 species